UGCUACUGGCUUCGGCCAAGCACUCUGAUGGGACUGCCCGGGAAACCGGGAGGAAGGUGGGGAUGACGUCAAGUCAUCAUGGUCCUUAUGUCCAGGGCUACACACGUGUUACAAUGGCCAAUACAAAGGGAAGCGAUACCGUAAGGUGGAGCAAACCCCAUCAAAGUUGGUCUAAGUUCGGAUUGAGGUCUGCAAUUUGACCUCAUGAAGCUGAAAUCGCUAGUAAUCGCGCAUCAUAACGGCGCGGUGAAUACGUUCUCGGACCUUGUACACACCGCCCGUCACAUCAUGAAAGCUGUUUGCACCCAAAGUCGUCUUAGCCAACCCGUAAGGGAGGCGGACGCCCAAGGUGUGGAUGGUGAUUGGGAUGAAGUCGUAACAAGGUAGCCAAUCG
rnacentral:rRNA from 1 species